UUUAUGCGCUGGAGAGACCGUUUUGUCUUUUGUGCCGAAGCUAUUUAUAAAUCACAGGCCGAAACCGGUGAAAUCAAGGGGCAUUACUUGAAUGCGACUGCGGGUACAUGUGAAGACAUGAUUAAGAGAGCUGUAUUUGCAAGAGAAUUAGGGGUUCCUAUUGUAAUGCAUGACUACUUAACUGGGGGAUUCACCAACUGGUAGUGGCUUCAAAUAGAUCGUCCUCAUGACACCAAUGAAUGUGGUUGGGUCUGGAUCUUGUGGCAUUGCAUAUCGUAGCAUACAUGGGUAGAAGACUAACCCAAUAGCGUCUGCUUUCGUCUUCGAGAUAAGCUUCAUGUACUCAAUAUCUGCCCAUGGGGGCCUGGCAGCAUUCUUGGCAACAUAUUCAGGUGUGAAAAGUGAUAGAGAACCAUUCCUCUGCCCAAUAUCUUCUAAUCCACUGAGUGCGCGAUUUGUGCUGGCCAUAGGUUUCCUCAGGGUCAUAGAUACGGUCUAGUGCUAUGUUGUGACGCCUCUGCCUUCUGCCCCUUCUCUGAGCAAUAGCAUUAUCUUUAGCCAUUUGCUUCUCAAGUAUGAUUGGCUUCACAUGACUGACUGGCUUCACACGGCUGAUAUGAGAAGAGCUAGCUUCAGGUGAGUCAAGGUGAAGCUGUAAGAAGUCUACAAAUUUAGACUAUGUGAACCACGUGACUCAACUACAGACAUGUACCUGUGAAAGAAUUAGAGAUACAAGGGAAGUAGGAGAGGUCAUAUGCAUUCUCAGACGAUUUUGAAGAUAAACCAGUUUUCAAGAUAAUGACUUCAUACUAUGAAAACAUUUACAUUGUGCGUGAGGUUGGUUCCAGAUUUGUAUGAAUUCAAAAAUAAGUACAAGUGAGGAAUCAUACGAGUCAUGUAGCACAAGUGAAAUACUUUGUGGGGUGAGAACGACUAAAAAUACGAAUUGGAAGUGAAAGAACAACUUUUGAAGAUGCUGGAAAUGUUAUCGGAUCAAACGAGCGGUAAAAAGGUGAUUUUAAUUACCGCGCUAUGAACUGAUGAUGAA
rnacentral:lncRNA from 1 species